AACUUUCAGCAACGGAUCUCUUGGCUCUCGCAUCGAUGAAGAACGCAGC
rnacentral:rRNA from 13 species